UACGAAGGGGGCUAGCGUUGCUCGGAAUUACUGGGCGUAAAGCGCACGUAGGCGGCUUUCUAAGUCGGGGGUGAAAUCCUGGAGCUCAACUCCAGAACUGCCUUCGAUACUGGAAAGCUUGAGUCCGGGAGAGGUGAGUGGAACUGCGAGUGUAGAGGUGAAAUUCGUAGAUAUUCGCAAGAACACCAGUGGCGAAGGCGGCUCACUGGCCCGGUACUGACGCUGAGGUGCGAAAGCGUGGGGAGCAAACAGGG
rnacentral:rRNA from 1 species